GCCCGGGUGGCUCAGUCGGUUGAGCGUCCGACUUCGGCUCAGGUCAUGAUCUCGCGGUCCGUGAGUUCGAGCCCCGCGUCGGGCU
rnacentral:tRNA from 1 species